CUAGCGCUGCUCCACCCUCCCCUCCUCCUUACGCAAUCGCCGCCACCUCCCCUCCCAUGGCAGCCCUGCUCGGCCACCUCCUUCCCGACGGUGCUUUGCGCAUGCCGGCGCCACCACAUUUUCGUGGUGCAUCACCCCUCAUGGUGCCAUCCCCUCCUCCCCAUACUGCACCACCGCUGCCGCUCCCGUGUGGCCGCCCCGCCCGAUCGCUUCCCUUCCGGCAGAGUGGUGCGCCUACCAGCGCCAUACCCUUUCUGCGCUGCGCUACCCGUACCGGAUUGUCUGCUCCUUCUCCCAUGUCAACUUCUUCCGCUGUUGAGGCCACUGACGAACGUCCACACGCUUCUGCUCCCCUCCCUCCUGUGCAUCCUUGACAUCAAUGGAUUUUGGUUCAAUGGCCACAUGUCGUGUUGCUGAUUCCUUUGCUGGAUUGUCUGGUUCAGUUGAGUGCAUUACUGCUCACGUAUGUGCUAUCGUUCACGAUUUGAGCUUGGUAUUUUUUUAUUGAUUGGUUGCAGACAUAAAAUAAAUGAUAGAUGGCUUGUGAUCGCGGAGGCUUGACAGGAGCAGAGAAGCCCACCCCUAGUGGCAAGAUUGUGAUGUCCUGCUCAAGUUCUGCUUAGGCUCUUGAGAUUUCUGGAAAGAGUAAAGUUGUGAAUAGAAGCGAGCUGACUAAAGUACAUCUCUACUGAUGAUUGAUUGUUGCUAUUUGAUAACAACUAGGAUCCAAUAGCAAUAUUCAGAAGCAUCUGUGCUACAGUGAGCAGACAUAUUGAGGCCUAGAUAUUAAUGGUGUGGUUAUUGUUUUUUUCGCUGAUUACUGCAAAACUAUUGUGUCAUCAGACAAGUGCGAUCUAAUAAAUGGGUCCUCGAGAUUUAUUGCUCCGUAGUAACAUCAAAGCUCAAGGUACAUAACUUAUCACCCGCCUUAUCUUCCAUAGCUGUACAAUAAAGUCAACUGCAUGAAUUGUUUUACUAAAAUACAUAUUGCCCCCACAUACCUCCAAAUCUUAGUAUGUAACAUAUUUUCUUCCCGUGAAUAAUACUAAUACUUUUUGCACCCCGUUACCUAUAACAUUUCAUUCUUAGAAAUGAGCAAGACAAAAAAAACUGCCAUAGAUUUAAAAAAUGUUUGCACAGAUACUGAGAUAGCAAAAUGUAGCCAUGUUAAGAGGCGAAGUGCAAACAUCCAACAAGCUUCCAACAGUUACCUACACCUCAUGGUAUGGUACAAUACUCUUCGGAGUAUAACCAGUACUUAAAAAUAAUUAUAUAAAUCGAUCAUACUAUGAUGUAGUCCAAUACAAAUGUCAAUAUUGCAAUGCUAUAUUCUAGGAAAAACGAAGGAGUUAA